AGAAAGUCGGAGAGUGAAAAAUUUGUGAAUUUCGCAAAUUCGAUCGACUUUACCUCCUACCCAACCAAAAUAGAAAAGUUGAUUUUCGUACAAUUAUAAGUAGGAGUUUGGAUGGUCUCGUGACUUCGGUGUCGAAAUAUAUGCCGAUAAUGACGACUUUUUCGGAGUCACGAGUUCAGUCUCUGAGAUCCACUAAAACAAAUAAACCUAAAGUGUUUAGUUUGAAAUCCUGUUACCGCUGCUUUGGCCAUUGAUGAAAUGGAUUUUAGCUACUUAAAUUUUUUCCAAUGACUUGUGCAGCUAUUCUGACUAGUAUAGGGAAGAAUUGUAUUUAUUCAAGAGCAUAUUUUCACCCAAGAAGUGAUUUAUCUUAUCUAAAAAUUGACUUGAAUGCCAAAUAUAAUAAUCUAAUUCGAGACAUAUAAUGAUAUAUACCUCAUGUACCAAUACAAGUUUCCUAAGUAAAUAAUGAAAAUAUACCGAAUAAGUUAUUUAUGCAUCCAAACAUAACCUUAAACUAAUUUUUUCUUUAAUAAAUUUAUAAUUACAUAAAUUACAUAAAAUAUACUAUAUAAAUUUUUAAAGAUAAACGAUAUAUUCAAAAUUUGAAAUUAAAGAGUCAUUAAGUGGCUCAAACCGAAUAAACUAAACGGCGAAUUUUUAAACAUUAGGUAGUCUAAUCCAAAAGAAU
rnacentral:lncRNA from 1 species